rnacentral:lncRNA from 1 species
GGAGAACUAAACUGGAUUUAUAUUUUGCAUCAAUAUUUCAAUACACAACCAGAAAUCCUCGCAUACACGAAAAGGCAACAUGUAUUUGCAUCAUAAUAUGAAAUAAAAUGACAUGACCCAAUCUUAUCGAAAGAGUUUGUAUUAAAAAAGUAUAAGCUCAGAAGGGAUAGAAACGAGACAGAAUUUUAACAACUUUGUUACUUUGAGAGCUACAUGAGAAGACCUCAGACUUGCAAGGUCAAGAAAGCUCGAAUCGAUCUUUUAAAGUUAGAAAAGACAAGAAAAUCAUAUAAGAAGAAUAAGCUCAGGAGGGAUAACGCCACUUCAUGUUUCAAGAUAAGUACUCUUGUUUAGGCACCAUAUCUUUUUCUUUUUCUAGCGCAGCCAUGGCUUUGGCAGAAGUACAGUGCUGCAACAAUUGAAGGAAAUCUAUAUUUUUUCUUUUGCUAGUGUAGUAAACCUAAGAGGAAGCAGUAGAAUGAGAUAAAUGAAAGUGUGUAUGUGGUUAUUUAUAAACAAAAAAGAGGAGCCUUUGGUUACAACAAGACGUG